GACGAACGCUGGCGGCGUGCUUAACACAUGCAAGUCGAACGAAGUGGCGCACGGGUGAGUAACGCGUAAUCAACCUGCCCUUCAGAGGGGAACAACAGUUGGAAACGACUGCUAAUACCGCAUACUGAAGGAGGUGAUUGCGUUUGCUUAGCUAGUUGGAGGGGUAACGGCCCACCAAGGCGCUGAUCAGUAGCCGGUCUGAGAGGAUGAACGGACACAUUGGGACUGAGACACGGCCCAGAAUCCCACGGGAGGGAGGAGGGGGGAAUCUUCCGAAAUGGAAGAAAGUCUGAAGGAGCAACGCCGCGGGAGUGAUGACGGCCUUAGGGUUGUAAAGCUCUGUUAAUCGGGACGCGGUACCGGAAUAGAAAGCAACGGCUAACUACGUGCCAGCAGCCGCGGUAAUAC
rnacentral:rRNA from 1 species